UACUGUAUGGCUCAGUUGGUAGAGCACCUCAGCACACUGUCACUGUUCAGCAUGGUCAUGGGUUCGAUCCCUCCAGUGG